GAUGAACGCUGGCGGCGUGCCUAAUACAUGCCAGUCGAGCGAACAGACGAGGAGCUUGCUCCUCUGACGUUAGCGGCGGACGGGUGAGUAACACGUGGAUAACCUACCUAUAAGACUGGGAUAACUUCGGGAAACCGGAGCUAAUACCGGAUAAUAUAUUGAACCGCAUGGUUCGAUAGUGAAAGACGGUUUUGCUGUCACUUAUAGAUGGAUCCGCGCCGCAUUAGCUAGUUGGUAAGGUAACGGCUUACCAAGGCGACGAUGCGUAGCCGACCUGAGAGGGUGAUCGGCCACACUGGAACUGAGACACGGUCCAGACUCCUACGGGAGGCAGCAGUAGGGAAUCUUCCGCAAUGGGCGAAAGCCUGACGGAGCAACGCCGCGUGAGUGAUGAAGGUCUUCGGAUCGUAAAACUCUGUUAUUAGGGAAGAACAAAUGUGUAAGUAACUAUGCACGUCUUGACGGUACCUAAUCAGAAAGCCACGGCUAACUACGUG
rnacentral:rRNA from 1 species